rnacentral:rRNA from 1 species
UAGGGAAUUUUCCACAAUGGGGGCAACCCUGAUGGAGCAACGCCGCGUGCAGGAUGAAGGUUUUCGGAUCGUAAACUGCUUUUAUUUGUGACGAUUAUGACAGUAGCAAAUGAAUAAGGGUCGGCUAACUACGUGCCAGCAGCCGCGGUCAUACGUAGGACCCAAGCGUUAUCCGGAAUUACUGGGCGUAAAGAGUUGCGUAGGUGGCAAGUUAAGUGAGCAGUGAAAUCGUGUGGCUCAACCAUACUCA